rnacentral:rRNA from 1 species
GUCAAAUAUAUUAAAAUUUACGAUGGAUACCUAGGCAUUUAGAGUCGAUGAAGGGCGUGGAUACCAACGAAAUGCUUCGGUUAGUUGGAAACAAACUUUGAUCCGAAGAUUCCCGAAUAGGAAAACCUAUAUAACUACUUAAUGAAUUCAUAAUUAAGUAAGAGACAACCUGCUGAAUUGAAACAUCUUAGUAAGCAGAGGAAAAGAAAGCAAACGCGAUUUCCUUAGUAGCGGCGAGCGAAACGGAAAUAGUCUAAUCAUUGAAAAAAAAAACUAUUAAACGAAGCAGCUGAAUCCUGCACCAUAGAUGGUGAAAGUCCAGUAGUUUAAAAUAGAAAAAAAUGAUUAUAAAGUAGCAUGGAACACGUGAAAUUCCGUGUGAAUAUACGAGGACCACCUCGUAAGACUAAAUACUCCUAAAUGACCGAUAGUGAAACAGUACCGUGAGGGAAAGGUGAAAAAGAACCCCUGUAGGGGAGUGAAAAAGAACAUGAAAUCGUAAAUUGACAAUCAGUGGGAGCUAAAGUGACCGCGUGCCUGUUGAAGAAUGAGCCGGCGACUUAUAGGUAGUGGCCAGGUUAAAAUAACUUUUUGGAGCCAAAGCGAAAGCAAGUCUGAUAAGGGCGUAUGUCACUAUUUAUAGACCCGAACCCGAGUGAUCUAACCAUGGCCAGGAUGAAUCUUGGGUAACACCAAGUGGAAGACCGAACCGACUGAUGUUGAAAAAUCAGCGGAUGAGCUGUGGUUAGGGGUGAAAUUCCAGUCGAACUCGGAGCUAGCUGGAUCUCCUCGAAAUGUGUUGAGGCGCAGCGGUUGAUGACGGGCUAUUUAGGGGUAAAGCACUGUUUCGGUGCGGGCUGCGAAAGCGGUACCAAAUCGUGGCAAACUAAGAAUACUAAAUAUGCUUUCCAUCAACCAGUAAGACAGUGGGGGAUAAGCUUCAUUGUCAAAAGGGAAACAGCCCAGAUCACCAGUUAAGGCCCCAAAGUGAUGGCUAAGUGAUAAAGGAAGUAAAAAGGCAAAGACAACCAGAAGGUUUGCUUAGAAGCAGCCAUCCUUGAAAGAGUGCGUAAUAGCUCACUGGUAGAGCCUUUUUGCGCCGAAAAUGAACGGGGCUAAGUCAUCCGCCGAAACUGUGGGUUACAGUUAAAAUACUGUUACGGUAGAGGAGCGUUCCGUUAUAGGGUGAAGUUAAAAUGUGAAUUUUAAUGGACGAAACGGAAGUGAGAAUGUCGGCUUGAGUAACGAAAACAUUGGUGAGAAUCCAAUGCCCCGAAAACCUAAGGGUUCCUUCACAAGGUUCGUCCAUGGAGGGUUAGUCAGGACCUAAGGCGAGAUCGAAAGGUGUAGUCGAUGGAAAACAGGUUAAUAUUCCUGUACUUGAUUAGGUUUGGUAAAGAGGGACGGAGAAGGCGGUAACUAGCUAGAUAUUGGUAUUCUAGUAGAAGUAUUGAAUUCUUAAAACAAUGAAAAAAAACUUUGUUUAGAAAACAUGCGACCUGACUGGAACUUUAUUAUAUAAAGUUUCGGUUUAGUUUUAGUCAUACUUCCAAGAAAAGCUCUUAUUACCAUUAAAUUUAAUCAACCUGUACCCUAAACUGACACAAGUAGGUAGGUAGAGAAUACUAAGGGGCGCGAGAUAACUCUCUCUAAGGAACUCGGCAAAAUGGCCCCGUAACUUCGGGAGAAGGGGUGCCUAUAUUAUAUAGGCCGCAGUGACCAGGCCCAGGCGACUGUUUAUCAAAAACACAGGUCUCCGCAAAGUCGUAAGACAAUGUAUGGGGGCUGACGUCUGCCCAGUGCCGGAAGGUAAAAGAAGUUGGUUAUUCCUCGGAAAAAGCUGACGACUGAAGCCCCGGUGAACGGCGGCUGUAACUCUGACAGUCCUAAGGUAGCGAAAUUCCUUGUCGAGUAAGUUUCGACCCGCACGAAAGACGUAACGAUCUGGGCACUGUCUCGGAGAGAGACUCGGUGAAAUAGAAAUGUCUGUGAAGAUGCGGACUACUUAUACCAGGACAGAAAGACCCUAUGAAGCUUGACUGUAAUUUGGAAUUGGAUUCGGGCUUUUUUUGCGCAGUCUAGGUGGGAGGCGUUGAUAUUAAGUUUUCGGACUUAAUUGAGCCAUCAGUGAGAGACCACUCUAAAAGAGCUAGAAUUCUAAUAGGAUUCCUUGAAUCAGGAUCCUUGACAGUUUCAGAUGGACAGUUUGACUGGGGCGGUGACCUCCCAAAAGGUAACGGAGGUGUGCAAAGGUUCCCUCAAGCUGGACGGAAAUCAGCUGUAGAGUGCAAAGGUAUAAGGGAGCUUGACUGCAAGACCAACAAGUCGAGCAGAGGCGAAAGCCGGCCUUAGUGAUCCGACGGUUCCGAGUGGAAGGGCCGUCGCUCAACGGAUAAAAGUUACUCUAGGGAUAACAGGCUGAUCUCCCCCAAGAGUUCACAUCGACGGGGAGGUUUGGCACCUCGAUGUCGUUUCAUCGCAACCUGGGGCUGGAGUAGGUCCCAAGGGUUGGGCUGUUCGCCCAUAAAAGCGGUACGUGAGAUGGGUUCAGAACGUCGCGAGACAGUUCGGUCCAUAUCCGGUAUAAGCGCAAGAGCAUUGAGAGGAUCUCAACAUUGUACGAGAGGACCCGAAGGGACGUACCGAUGGUGUACCAGUUCUUAUGCCAAUAGGAAACGCUGGGUAGCUAUGUACGGAGUGGAUAAUCGCUGAAAGCAUUUAAGUGAGAAGCCCACCUCAAGAUGAAUGCUCUCUAUUAGAUCGCGGCAAGACAAGCCGAUAGAUUGGCAUCAAGUGUAAGAUUAGUAAUAAUUUCAGCUGAGAUGUACAAAGGAUCGAUUGAUUUUGAC